UAUAUUGACACAUAGACCAGAUAGGUGCAGUGAAAUAUAUUGACACAUAGACCAGAUAGGUACAGUGAAAUAUAUUGACACAUAGACCAGAUAGGUGCAGUGAAAUAUAUUGACACAUAGACCAGAUAGGUGCAGUGAAAUAUAUUGACACAUAGACCAGAUAGGUGCAGUGAAAUAUAUUGACACAUAGACCAGAUAGGUGCAGUGAAAUAUAUUGUCACAUAGACCAGAUAGGUGCAGUGAAAUAUAUUGACACAUAGACCAGAUAGGUGCAGUGAAAUAUAUUGACACAUAGACCAGAUAGGUGCAGUGAAAUAUAUUGACACAUAGACCAGAUAGGUGCAGUGAAAUAUAUUGACACAUAGACCAGAUAGGUACAGUGAAAUAUAUUGACACAUAGACCAGAUAGGUACAGUGAAAUAUAUUGACACAUAGACCAGAUAGGUGCAGUGAAAUAUAUUGACACAUAGACCAGAUAGGUACAGUGAAAUAUAUUGACACAUAGACCAGAUAGGUGCAGUGAAAUAUAUUGACACAUAGACCAGAUAGGUACAGUGAAAUAUAUUGACACAUAGACCAGAUAGGUGCAGUGAAAUAUAUUGACACAUAGACCAGAUAGGUGCAGUGAAAUAUAUUGACACAUAGACCAGAUAGGUGCAGUGAAAUAUAUUGACACAUAGACCGGAGAGGUGCAGUGAAAUAUAUUGACACAUAGACCAGAUAGGUGCAGUGAAAUAUAUUGACACAUAGACCAGAUAGGUGCAGUGAAAUAUAUUGACACAUAGACCAGAUAGGUACAGUGAA